rnacentral:rRNA from 1 species
AUAAUGCAAGUCGAGCGAACUGAUUAGAAGCUUGCUUCUAUGACGUUAGCGGCGGACGGGUGAGUAACACGUGGGCAACCUGCCUGUAAGACUGGGAUAACUCCGGGAAACCGGAGCUAAUACCGGAUAACAUUUUCUCUUGCAUAAGAGAAAAUUGAAAGAUGGUUUCGGCUAUCACUUACAGAUGGGCCCGCGGUGCAUUAGCUAGUUGGUGAGGUAACGGCUCACCAAGGCAACGAUGCAUAGCCGACCUGAGAGGGUGAUCGGCCACACUGGGACUGAGACACGGCCCAGACUCCUACGGGAGGCAGCAGUAGGGAAUCUUCCGCAAUGGACGAAAGUCUGACGGAGCAACGCCGCGUGAGUGAUGAAGGCUUUCGGGUCGUAAAACUCUGUUGUUAGGGAAGAACAAGUACAAGAGUAACUGCUUGUACCUUGACGGUACCUAACCAGAAAGCCACGGCUAACUACGUGCCAGCAGCCGCGGUAAUACGUAGGUGGCAAGCGUUAUCCGGAAUUAUUGGGCGUAAAGCGCGCGCAGGCGGUUUCUUAAGUCUGAUGUGAAAGCCCACGGCUCAACCGUGGAGGGUCAUUGGAAACUGGGGAACUUGAGUGCAGAAGAGAAAAGCGGAAUUCCACGUGUAGCGGUGAAAUGCGUAGAGAUGUGGAGGAACACCAGUGGCGAAGGCGGCUUUUUGGU